AGUGAACGCUGGCGGUAGGCCUAACACAUGCAAGUCGAACGGCAGCACAGAGGAGCUUGCUCCUUGGGUGGCGAGUGGCGGACGGGUGAGGAAUACAUCGGAAUCUACUCUGUCGUGGGGGAUAACGUAGGGAAACUUACGCUAAUACCGCAUACGACCUACGGGGGAAAGCAGGGGAUCUUCGGACCUUGCUCGAUGUCAUGAGCCGAUGUCGGAUUAGCUAGUUGGCGGGGUAAAGGCCCACCAAGGCGACGACCCGUAGCUGGUCUGAGAGGAUGAACAGCCACACUGGAACUGAGACACGGUCCAGACUCCUACGGGAGGCAGCAGUGGGGAAUAUUGGACAAUGGGCGCAAGCCUGAUCCAGCCAUACCGCGUGGGUGAAGAAGGCCUUCGGGUUGUAAAGCCCUUUUGUUGGGAAAGAAAUCCAUCUGGUUAAUACCCGGGUGGGAUGACGGUACCCAAAGAAUAAGCACCGGCUAACUUCGUGCCAGCCGCCGCCGUAA
rnacentral:rRNA from 1 species